rnacentral:rRNA from 1 species
CUCCUACGGGAGGCAGCAGUAAGGAAUAUUGGUCAAUGGACGCAAGUCUGAACCAGCCAUGCCGCGUGAAGGAUGACGGCCCUCUGGGUUGUAAACUUCUUUUAUGUGGGACGAAAAAAGGGAAUUCUUUCCCGUCUGACGGUACCAUAUGAAUAAGCACCGGCUAACUCCGUGCCAGCAGCCGCGGUAAUACGGAGGGUGCAAGCGUUAAUCGGAAUUACUGGGCGUAAAGCGUGCGUAGGCGGAUUCUUAAGUCGGUGGUGAAAUCCUGGAGCUCAACUCCAGAACUGCCUUCGAUACUGAAGAGCUCGAGUCCGGGAGAGGUGAGUGGAACUGCGAGUGUAGAGGUGAAAUUCGUAGAUAUUCGCAAGAACACCAGUGGCGAAGGCGGCUCACUGGCCCGGUACUGACGCUGAGGUGCGAAAGCUAGGGGAGCAAACAGGAUUAGAUACCCUGGUAGUCCUAGCCCUAAACGAUGGAUACUUGGUGUGACUGGGAUUGAAUCCAGUCGUGCCGAAGCUAACGCAUUAAGUAUCCCGCCUGGGGAGUACGGUCGCAAGGCUGAAACUUAAAGGAAUUGACGGGACCUG